AAAUUGAAGAGUUUGAUCAUGGCUCAGAUUGAACGCUGGCGGCAGGCCUAACACAUGCAAGUCGAACGGUAACAGAAAGCAGCUUGCUGCUUUGUUGACGAGUGGCGGACGGGUGAGUAAUGUCUGGGAAACUGCCUGAUGGAGGGGGAUAACUACUGGAAACGGUAGCUAAUACCGCAUAACGUCGCAAGACCAAAGAGGGGGACCUUCGGGCCUCUUGCCAUCGGAUGUGCCCAGAUGGGAUUAGCUAGUAGGUGGGGUAACGGCUCACCUAGGCGACGAUCCCUAGCUGGUCUGAGAGGAUGACCAGCCACACUGGAACUGAGACACGGUCCAGACUCCUACGGGAGGCAGCAGUGGGGAAUAUUGCACAAUGGGCGCAAGCCUGAUGCAGCCAUGCCGCGUGUAUGAAGAAGGCCUUCGGGUUGUAAAGUACUUUCAGCGGGGAGGAAGGGAGUAAAGUUAAUACCUUUGCUCAUUGACGUUACCCGCAGAAGAAGCACCGGCUAACUCCGUGCCAGCAGCCGCGGUAAUACGGAGGGUGCA
rnacentral:rRNA from 1 species